AGUUAUGAACUGUUUCUGAGAGACAAAUAACACCAGGAUCCUUUUCUAUGUAGCUGACAGCUGGCACACAGUAAAAAAUGGAGGGUCAAUAUUUCAGAGUAAACCUAUUUUAACCUAGAUAGAGUAUUUACAACUCUAUGAAGAGUAAACCAGCUCUAACAUCAGAGUUAAAAGUCAGUGUAAAGUUUGUUAGUCACGCAGUGAAGACUUAACUCCACACAGUGUUGAUUUUUACCAGUCUGCGGGUGUGUGCGGCAGAGCUCUGAUGUGCAUGGAAUUUUCUCUGAAAAGCUGCCACAGUCAAAAAGGUUUAAGAGUGUGCAAAAACCAAAUCUCUGAGAGAUGCAACCAGAAGAUGGAUUAGAAACAUACUUGAGGCUGAGAUGACAGAAUAACAUGGGUAAUAAUCAAAAAUGUAAGAUAUAAAGAAACACUUUUAACAUUGUAUUAUUUUUAAUUGUGAUUUUUAAUGCCAAUUAUUGAAUUUAUACAUUAGGACAUCUCCCCCUAAAAGCGUAAGAGUAAUGUCUGCGCAGGGCAUUGUUGCUCUGUCUCCAUAUCUGAAAGGCCCAUAUUCACAACAUGGAUAUAAACAUUACUACGAUCCAGAGAGCGGUUCAGGAUACAUUGCAUGGUUGAAGACCAUUCAAAGAAAAGCUGCGGAGGAAAGAAGCAUCUCAGUUUGCAAAUCUCCCAAAAGUAAGUUCACUUAUCAUUUAAAUGAUACUGAUGUAAUUUGUAGGCAGGAUUCAAUCAAAUUGUUUUUUCUGAACUUGGUGGGCCAGUCCAUGGUUGAUCCAGACCACUCACCACUAAGUGUUAUCAGAUGAGGCUGUAAGAGCAGAUAUUGCUCUUUUGAGACACUCUGCUGAUGAAGACACUAUCCGUGAAAAGAUGAAAGCUACCUCCAUUUAUCGGCAUUCAAUGGUCAACGAUGAAAAGAAUGCAGCAGAUGUUUUCAGAGGCCUGAUGCAGUUUCUGGACACACCAGGAAUGAUAGAACAAGAUUUCCGACUCCUGUUUUGUAAGGUCAAUGCAAGCAAAUUCUUGGAGAGGUAGCCCAUCAAUCUCAAAGCAAAGGUUGUAAAGGAAAGUCAUGGACAUGUCCCCACCUCAGAGCUCUUGGAGUUAAUGUGAAAUGCUGAUUCAGGCUGGGACAGUGACAUGUCUACUAUCUUGCUGCUGCUACAUCUGCUACCACCAUCUGCACAAGAGCGAAAGAGACCAGGAAAGAUGUCUGCAUCUCAAGCUGUCGAUAACCUCAUUAAAUUCCCAAAGGCUGGAACCAGUGUACAGCAGCAUCUAGACAACAGCAGUCAGCCCUACCUUCUUGACUCAGGGAUCCACAAGAAGCAGCAUUCACACCUUCAUUGUGAUUGAGAAGCAUGCACUUCCUCCCUUCCCAGGAAGGUGGCACAGAUGCCCCUCCAGUGGUACUCCUUGGGCUCUCGCACUCUGGGGUCCCUGAAUGUCUGGAGCCUGGAUCUCCUCCAUGCCUGCUUCAUGCCCUGGGGGACGGGGCUAUGGCCCUCCACACCCUCUAGCACACCGUUACAUGGGGAAACCUUCUGUAUACAAGCGCGCUGAUCCACA
ensembl:lncRNA